rnacentral:rRNA from 1 species
GAAUCUUCCCCAAUGGACGAAAGUCUGAGGGAGCGACGCCGCGUGCAGGAAGAAGGCCCUAGGGUCGUAAACUGCUUUUGCCGAGGAAGAAAUUAUGACGGUACUCGGAGAAUAAGAGGUUGCUAACUCUGUGCCAGCAGCAGCGGUGAUACAGAGACCUCAAGCGUUAUCCGGAUUUAUUGGGCGUAAAGGGUCCGCAGGUGGCCUGUCACGUCGUUGGUCAAAUUUCAGAGCUUAACUCUGAAACUGCUGACGAUACGGGCGGGCUAGAGCAUGGGAGAGGUAAGUGGAAUUACUGGUGUAGCGGUAAAAUGCGUUAAUAUCAGUAGGAACACCAAAUGCGAAGGCAA